rnacentral:rRNA from 1 species
UACGUAGGGGGCAAGCGUUGUCCGGAUUUAUUGGGCGUAAAGAGCGUGUAGGCGGCCAUGCAGGUCCGCUGUGAAAACUCGAGGCUCAACCUCGAGACGUCGGUGGAAACCGCAUGGCUAGAGUCCGGAAGAGGAGAGUGGAGUUCCCGGUGUAGCGGUGAAAUGCGCAGAUAUCGGGAAGAACACCCGUGGCGAAGGCGGCUCUCUGGGACGGUACUGACGCUAAGGCGCGAAAGCGUGGGGAGCAAACAGG